UAAGAAGAGCGUAUGCGUUGUGAUUGUCCCCGCGGGCAGUGGGCGAUCAUAGUCAAAGCUGGAAAACUCCUCUAUAUUAUACUAUUUUUGUGGGCAACAGGACUUUUGUUUAGGAAUUAAAUUGAACUUUGGCAUUUAGAAAAUAUUUCUCCCAUACUCUAGUGGAAGAUUCAUGCUUUAUGGGAAAUCUUAACUGUCUUUGUGGAAGACCUAACUAUGUUCUUAAAGUCAUUACUUGGGAUUGAACACAAGACUUCUAUCACUAGGACUAGCAGAAUUCAGUUAGACAGGCAUGGCAUCCAGUACUCUAGUACUCACAGUGAAGGAGACACAAUGGAAUAAGUCCUUCUCCACCACCAGGUGGCUCAGAAGGAGGCAGCCCUUCUCAGGGGUCCCAGUGUGGAGCAGCGAGGGGACCAGUACCACAUAGUGCCUGGGAAGGAAGUUUACUGUACCAAGCAGAGGAAAAUGGCUACUUGGUCUCUUUGUCAUUCUCUCUCAGUUUUCACAUCAAAGUCUAACUCUGGAGUGAUAAGGGGUCUUGUGGUCCUAAGCCAGCGUGAUGGAAAUUUGGGCCUACUUUUUCUUCUAUUUGGUGAAGGGUCUCAAGUCACUCAUACAUUGCUGGUGGAGUUGCAAAUUGGUGUAGUCACUCUGGAAAGCAGUAUGGAGAUUCUUCAGAAAACUUGGA